ACGAGUAAAGCGCGCAAAAACCUUCGCCCUAACCAAGCUGCUUGUGCGGUGUUCCUGAAUUCAGGAGUGUCGUUGAGGCAUUUUGGUUAGAGUGAGGGGAAUGUGGCGGCUUUUGGAGGGGCUUGCGGCCUAUCAGCUAGUUGGUGGGGUAACGGCCUACCAAGGCAUCGACGGGUAGCUGGUCUGAGAGGAUGGUCAGCCGGACUGGGACUGAGAUACGGCCCAG
rnacentral:rRNA from 1 species